rnacentral:rRNA from 1 species
GGUUAAGCGACUAAGCGUACACGGUGGAUGCCCUGGCAGUCAGAGGCGAUGAAGGACGUGCUAAUCUGCGAUAAGCGUCGGUAAGGUGAUAUGAACCGUUAUAACCGGCGAUUUCCGAAUGGGGAAACCCAGUGUGAUUCGUCACACUAUCAUUAACUGAAUCCAUAGGUUAAUGAGGCGAACCGGGGGAACUGAAACAUCUAAGUACCCCGAGGAAAAGAAAUCAACCGAGAUUCCCCCAGUAGCGGCGAGCGAACGGGGAGCAGCCCAGAGCCUGAAUCAGUGUGUGUGUUAGUGGAAGCGUCUGGAAAGGCGCGCGAUACAGGGUGACAGCCCCGUACACAAAAAUGCACAUACUGUGAGCUCGAUGAGUAGGGCGGGACACGUGGUAUCCUGUCUGAAUAUGGGGGGACCAUCCUCCAAGGCUAAAUACUCCUGACUGACCGAUAGUGAACCAGUACCGUGAGGGAAAGGCGAAAAGAACCCCGGCGAGGGGAGUGAAAAAGAACCUGAAACCGUGUACGUACAAGCAGUGGGAGCACGCUUAGGCGUGUGACUGCGUACCUUUUGUAUAAUGGGUCAGCGACUUAUAUUCUGUAGCAAGGUUAACCGAAUAGGGGAGCCGAAGGGAAACCGAGUCUUAACUGGGCGUUAAGUUGCAGGGUAUAGACCCGAAACCCGGUGAUCUAGCCAUGGGCAGGUUGAAGGUUGGGUAACACUAACUGGAGGACCGAACCGACUAAUGUUGAAAAAUUAGCGGAUGACUUGUGGCUGGGGGUGAAAGGCCAAUCAAACCGGGAGAUAGCUGGUUCUCCCCGAAAGCUAUUUAGGUAGCGCCUCGUGAAUUCAUCUCCGGGGGUAGAGCACUGUUUCGGCA